rnacentral:lncRNA from 1 species
CGUAUUUUGGCUCUUCCAACCUUGCGCUUUUCUUUGUAGAGAGAUCUAGCACUCCAUCCCCUUGCUGAGUAUUCUGUUCUUGAGUUCGAUUCACAGUGAGGUCUAGAGGGCUAUCCUGCUCUUCCUGAAGGGAGUUUUCCGUUUGGUUCAUUUGGAUACUUUUACAUAUCAGACUCGGUUCAAAUGAUGAACCAUUUCUGUUCUCUUGAAUUUUGCUACUUUUUGAAAUGUACUCAAUUGCAAACUGGCGGAUCAUUUUUUUCAUUAAUUCCUGAGCAACUAGGGGAAUGUUAGGAUCACAGUUCUGAGGAAGAUCUUUCUUUCGAAAGAGUGCAUUUAGAUAGUUUUCUGCUUGGCAUUCAAUCUUAUCAGUGUUGGACUGGCCCUGAGAUGAAAGUUCCUCUGUAGGUGUUGACUGUGAAGAACCAAUAACUGACGCACGAUCACUGACUGUUUCUUUGUGUAAAUUACAAAAGGAACAUUUCUCAUCCAUAGACCAGUCAGUUAGCUCUUCUGGCUCACAGUCUUCAAAUAAACUGAGGUCUCUUCGUAGCCUUGGUCCAUAAAGCCCUUCUAAAAUACUUUCAAAACCCACACAGUGCAUGAGCCGGUGCCGCCAGGAGUCGAGUUCGCGGCGGACUCCUCUACGCUCCGCCGUGCAGCGGGGGCUCCGGCACUGGGAGGCGGCGGCAGGAGGAGCGGGAGCCGCGGCGGCCAUUCU